rnacentral:rRNA from 1 species
AUUGAACGCUGGCGGCAGGCCUAACACAUGCAAGUCGAGCGGAUGAAGGGAGCUUGCUCCUGGAUUCAGCGGCGGACGGGUGAGUAAUGCCUAGGAAUCUGCCUGGUAGUGGGGGAUAACGUCCGGAAACGGGCGCUAAUACCACAUACGUCCUGAGGGAGAAAGUGGGGGAUCUUCGGACCUCACGCUAUCAGAUGAGCCUAGGUCGGAUUAGCCAGUUGGUGGGGUAAAGGCCUACCAAGGCGACGAUCCGUAACUGGUCUGAGAGGAUGAUCAGUCACACUGGAACUGAGACACGGUCCAGACUCCUACGGGAGGCAGCAGUGGGGAAUAUUGGACAAUGGGCGAAAGCCUGAUCCAGCCAUGCCGCGUGUGUGAAGAAGGUCUUCGGAUUGUAAAGCACUUUAAGUUGGGAGGAAGGGCAGUAAGUUAAUACCUUGCUGUUUUGACGUUACCAACAGAAUAAGCACCGGCUAACUUCGUG